rnacentral:rRNA from 1 species
GGGUUGUGAGGUUAAGCGACCAAGCGUACACGGUGGAUGCCUAGGCAGUCAGAGGCGAUGAAGGGCGUGCUAAUCUGCGAAAAGCGUCGGCAAGGUGAUAUGAACCGUUACACCCGACGAUACCCGAAUGGGGAAACCCAGUGUGUUUCGACACACUAUCAUGGCAUGAAUACAUAGUGUCAUGAGGCGAACCGGGGGAACUGAAACAUCUCAGUACCCCGAGGAAAAGAAAUCAACCGAGAUUCCCCCAGUAGCGGCGAGCGAACGGGGAGGAGCCCAGAACCUGAAUCGGCUUGUGCGUCAGUGGAAGCGUCUGGAAAGUCGCACGAUACAGGGUGACAGUCCCGUACACGAAGAGGCACAGACCGUGAGUUCGAUGAGUAGGGCGGGACACGUGGUAUCCUGUCUGAACAUGGGGGGACCAUCCUCCAAGGCUAAAUACUCCUGACUGACCGAUAGUGAACCAGUACCGUGAGGGAAAGGCGAAAAGAACCCCGGCGAGGGGAGUGAAACAGAACCUGAAACCGUGUACGUACAAGCAGUGGGAGCCCUGAUUUAUCAGGGUGACUGCGUACCUUUUGUAUAAUGGGUCAGCGACUUAUAUUCUGUAGCAAGGUUAACCGAAUAGGGGAGCCGCAGGGAAACCGAGUCUUAACUGGGCGUUAAGUUGCAGGGUAUAGACCCGAAACCCGGUGAUCUAGCCAUGGGCAGGUUGAAGGUUGGGUAACACUAACUGGAGGACCGAACCGACUAAUGUUGAAAAAUUAGCGGAUGACUUGUGGCUGGGGGUGAAAGGCCAAUCAAACCGGGAGAUAGCUGGUUCUCCCCGAAAGCUAUUUAGGUAGCGCCUCGUGAAUUCAUCUUCGGGGGUAGAGCACUGUUUCGGCUAGGGGGCCAUCCCGGCUUACCAACCCGAUGCAAACUGCGAAUACCGAAGAAUGUUAUCACGGGAGACACACGGCGGGUGCUAACGUCCGUCGUGAAGAGGGAAACAACCCAGACCGCCAGCUAAGGUCCCAAAGUCAUGGUUAAGUGGGAAACGAUGUGGGAAGGCCCAGACAGCCAGGAUGUUGGCUUAGAAGCAGCCAUCAUUUAAAGAAAGCGUAAUAGCUCACUGGUCGAGUCGGCCUGCGCGGAAGAUGUAACGGGGCUAAAACCAUGCACCGAAGCUGCGGCAGCGA